GAUGAACGCUGGCGGCGUGCCUAAUACAUGCAAGUCGAGCGAACGGACGAGAAUCUUGCUUUUCUGAUGUUAGCGGCGGACGUGUGAGUAACACGUGGAUAACCUCCCUAUAAGACUGGUAUAACUUCGGGAAACCGGAGCUAAUACCGGAUAAUAUUUUGAACCGCAUGGUUCAAAAGUGAAAGACGGUCUUGCUGUCACUUAUAGAUGGAUCCGCGCUGCAUUGGCUAGUUGGUAAGGUAACGGCUUACCAAGGCAACGAUGCAUAGCCGACCUGAGAGGGUGAUCGGCCACACUGGAACUGAGACACGGUCCAGACUCCUACGGGAGGCAGCAGUAGGGAAUCUUCCGCAAUGGGCGAAAGCAUGACGGAGCAACGCCGCGUGAGUGAUGAAGGUCUUCGGAUCGUAAAACUCUGUUAUUAGGGAAGAACAUAUGUGUAAGUAAAUGUGCACAUCUUGACGGUACCUAAUCAGAAAGCCACGGCUAACUACGUG
rnacentral:rRNA from 1 species